rnacentral:misc_RNA from 1 species
UGCGGCGCUAUGCGCCGUCGGGUGCACGACGUGUUCACCCGAAUAUGGGGCUGUAGCUCAGCUGGGAGAGCACUGCUUUGCAAGCAGGGGGUCAGCGGUUCGAUCCCGCUCAGCUCCACCAUUCGAUUGGUGUUGAACUGGCGGAUAUUAUCCUUGGAGAAAAAAUAGGUUUGCAUCGUCUCCAUCGUGAGACGGAUGCCUGUUCUGCUUACAUUGUGAAGAGAAGAUAUGUCUGGAAGCUUCCAGGUGUUGAUGGUGAUCGAAAGGUUGCCUGAGACGUCCGAGCCCAGUCCCGAAGAAGCCAUGGAUGGUCUAGCCGACCGGAAGUGGAAGAGGGUCUGGAGGUAGGAGGGAAGUCUUGUCCUUUGAGGCAUGAUCGUUGUUGGGGUGUUCUUCGGAACGCGCCUCUGAUGGUCGUGUCGGAUUGGUGUUGCCUGACCGCGCAUCACCGGACAGAUCUCGAGAAGCUGGUCUUAAGAUAUGGCCUCGAAGUCGCUCGGCGUGACUUUUGUGAGGACCAUAUCGAACACGUCGAUGGCAUUGUUAGAGAGCGCGAUUGUAAAAGGUAAUCGCGCAUAGCUGGUCUGGCGACUGCAAGGUCUCCGGAUUUUGGCUGCUGCGGCAUACGAAAGUUGCCCGGAUGGCCAGAUUUGGCACCCCUUCGAGCGCAAGCGAGGAGGAUAGGUU